rnacentral:rRNA from 1 species
ACAUUUCUAAAAAAGAAAGACGACAAGACCCUAUUGAACUUAACUUUAGUUAAACUGGGGAAGUAAAUUAAUUAUUAUUUUAAUUUAUUAAAGUCCAUAAAUAUCUCAUACAAUUAAAUAAUUCAGUUACCAUAGGGAUAACAGCGCAAUUAUAUUUAUAAGUUCUUAUAUAAAUUAUAGUUUACGACCUCGAUGUUGAAUUAAUUACCUAUUUCUUAAAGCAAAUUUUAACAAAGGAAGUCUGUUCGACUUUUAAAAAAUUACAUGAUUUGAGUUCAGACCGGUGUAAGCCAGGUCGGCUUCCAUCUUCUAUUAUAACCUUUACAGUACGAAAGGGCCUAAAGAUAUAAUAUAAUUAUAAUAUUGGCAGAUAAAUGCAUUAGAAUUAGAAUCUAAUUAAUCUACAAUUAACUUCACA